UACGGAGGAUGCGAGCGUUAUCCGGAUUUAUUGGGUUUAAAGGGUGCGUAGGCGGACUGUCAAGUCAGCGGUAAAAUUGAGAGGCUCAACCUCUUCCCGCCGUUGAAACUGGUGGUCUUGAGUGGAUGAGAAGUACGCGGAAUGCGUGGUGUAGCGGUGAAAUGCAUAGAUAUCACGCAGAACUCCGAUUGCGGAGGCAGCGUACCAGCAUCCAACUGACGCUGAGGCACGAAAGCGUGGGGAUCAAACAGG
rnacentral:rRNA from 1 species